GGGCCCGCACAAGCGGUGGAGUAUGUGGUUUAAUUCGAUGCAACGCGAAGAACCUUACCAGGGCUUGACAUCCUGCGAAUCUCUGGGAAACCGGAGAGUGCCUUCGGGAACGCAGUGACAGGUGGUGCAUGGCUGUCGUCAGCUCGUGUCGUGAGAUGUUGGGUUAAGUCCCGCAACGAGCGCAACCCACGUCUUUAGUUGCCAGCAUUUAGUUGGGCACUCUAGAGAGACUGCCGGUGAUAAACCGGAGGAAGGUGUGGAUGACGUCAAGUCAUCAUGCCCCUUACAUCCUGGGCUACACACGUACUACAAUGCUACGGACAAAGGGCAGCUAACUCGCGAGAGUACGCAAAUCUCAUAAACCGUGGCUCAGUUCAGAUCGUAGGCUGCAACUCGCCUACGUGAAGGCGGAAUCGCUAGUAAUCGCAGGUC
rnacentral:rRNA from 1 species